rnacentral:rRNA from 1 species
UAUACCUACGGGGGGCAGCAGUCGGGAAUAUUGCGCAAUGGAGGAAACUCUGACGCAGUGACGCCGCGUGCAGGAAGAAGGUUUUCGGAUUGUAAACUGCUUUAGACAGGGAAGAAAAAAGACAGUACCUGUAGAAUAAGCUCCGGCUAACUACGUGCCAGCAGCCGCGGUAAUACGUAGGGGGCAAGCGUUAUCCGGAUUUACUGGGUGUAAAGGGAGCGUAGACGGCAUGGCAAGUCUGAAGUGAAAGCCCGGGGCUCAACCGCGGGACUGCUUUGGAAACUGUUAAGCUGGAGUGCAGGAGG